rnacentral:rRNA from 1 species
UUGCUCGGAAUCACUGGGCGUAAAGCGCACGUAGGCGGCUUGUUAAGUCAGGGGUGAAAUCCUGGAGCUCAACUCCAGAACUGCCUUUGAUACUGGCAAGCUUGGAGUCCGGGAGAGGUGAGUGGAACUGCGAGUGUAGAGGUGAAAUUCGUAGAUAUUCGCAAGAACACCAGUGGCGAAGGCGGCUCACUGGCCCGGUACUGACGCUGAGGUGCGAAAGCGUGGGGAGCAAACAGG